AGUGGAUGCUGGGGAUUUUUAUGAAGCAAAAUAUUUACAAAGAUUGAGGCUCAUAUUGUUUUCAGGAAAAUGGCGAACACGUGAUGGUUGAAUUCAGAGGUGAACCGGGCUUUCCGCGUUGGUCAAGCAAGGUGUUGCUGGUGUAGUGUGUUCAUCAGAGGGUGUGGAUUCAGUUUUACCGAGCCCUUUCUGUGGUGCAGGGGACCUGAACUCCAUCAGAUACUGCAGGUUUACUCACAGAAGCAUCCUCUGAACAAGAAGCGAUUAUGUUGUCAUGAAAAGGAUUCCAUUUGAUGUCCAGCACAUUGCCUUGGUGACCGCAGACCUUCGGAUAGUGAGGGUCGAUACGGCCAAACUGCAAGAGAGAAGUAUAGUUUCCAUUCAACAACUGAAGCUCCUUUGUCAUAAGAGGAAUUCCAUCUGAAAAGUCAAUGUUCUGCAACUAUAUCGCUCCCAUGUGUCUGGCUUUCAAGCAUGAUAAUUGCUUAUUCUUAAUCAGACAGUUGUAUCUGUAAUAUAGACUAAUGUCUUGGGUUGAAUAAACACAUUUGAAAGAUUUAAUAAACUACAUACACACAUUACAACAAACACAAAAUUGCAUUAAACUGCCAAACUCUC